UACAGAGGUCUCAAGCGUUGUUCGGAUUCAUUGGGCGUAAAGGGCGCGUAGGCGGUCAGUGCAAGUCAGUUGUGAAAUCUCCGGGCUUAACUCGGAAAGGUAAACUGAUACUGCUCGACUAGAGUGCGGAAGGGGCAACUGGAAUUCUUGGUGUAGCGGUGAAAUGCGUAGAUAUCAAGAGGAACACCUGCGGCGAAGGCGGGUUGCUGGGCCGACACUGACGCUGAUGCGCGAAAGCUAGGGGAGCGAACGGG
rnacentral:rRNA from 1 species